rnacentral:tRNA from 1 species
GCGGCUGGCCGCGUGGGACGACCGUUGCCCUCCGAAGGCAAAGGUCACACGUUCGAAUCGUGUCGGGCGCGCCA